rnacentral:rRNA from 1 species
GACGAACGCUGGCGGCGUGCUUAACACAUGCAAGUCGAACGGAAAGGCCCUGCUUGCAGGGUACUCGAGUGGCGAACGGGUGAGUAACACGUGGGUGAUCUGCCCUGCACUUCGGGAUAAGCCUGGGAAACUGGGUCUAAUACCGGAUAGGAGCCAUUUUUAGUGUGAUGGUUGGAAAGUUUUUUCGGUGUAGGAUGAGCUCGCGGCCUAUCAGCUUGUUGGUGGGGUAAUGGCCUACCAAGGCGGCGACGGGUAGCCGGCCUGAGAGGGUGGACGGCCACAUUGGGACUGAGAUACGGCCCAGACUACUACGGGAGGCAGCAGUGGGGAAGAUUGCACAAUGGGCGCAAGCAUGAUGCAGCGACGCCGCGUGGGGGAUGACGGCCUUCGGGUUGUAAACUCCUUUCGCUAGGGACGAAGCUUUUGUGACGGUACCUAGAGAAGAAGCACCGGCUAACUACGUG